AUUGAACGCUGGCGGCAGGCCUAACACAUGCAAGUCGAGCGAGCGGCGGACGGGUGAGUAAUGUAUGGGGACUGCCCGAUAGAGGGGGAUAACUACUGGAAACGGUGGCUAAUACCGCAUAGUAUCGGAUAACCCAUAUGGGAUUAGCUAGUAGGUGGGGUAAAGGCUCACCUAGGCGACGAUCUCUAGCUGGUCUGAGAGGAUGAUCAGCCACACUGGGCCUUGGACACGGGCCAUACUCCUACGGAGGAAGGAGGGGGGAAUAUUGCACAAUGGGCGCAAGCCUGAAGCAGCCAUGCCGCGUGUAUGAAGAAGGCCGUAGGGUUAUAAACUCCUUUCACCAUCGACGCGGUAGAUGGAGAAGAAGCACCGGCUAACUACGUGCCAGCAGCCGCGGUAAUAC
rnacentral:rRNA from 1 species